GACAGAGAGUGCAAGCGUUAUUCGGCUUUAUUGGGCGUAAAGGGUAUGUAGGCGGUCUUUUAUAAAUUAGUGUGAAAAACUAGAGUAAUAACUGUAGGAAAAUACUUUAUGAUUAUUAGACAAGUGUUAGUUUUAAGUUAGAGGUAUUUUUUGUGUAAUACAAUAGAAUGUGAUUAUAUACGAAGGACCACCAACAGUGAAGACAUCUUUCUAAAACUAACUUACGCUGAGGUACGAAGACAUGGGGAGCAAACAGG
rnacentral:rRNA from 1 species